rnacentral:rRNA from 1 species
UAGGGAAUCUUCCACAAUGGGCGCAAGCCUGAUGGAGCAACGCCGCGUGUGUGAUGAAGGGUUUCGGCUCGUAAAAACNCUGUUAUAAGAGAAGAACGGCACUGAGAGUAACUGUUCAGUGUGUGACGGUAUCUUACCAGAAAGGAACGGCUAAAUACGCGCCAG